rnacentral:rRNA from 1 species
GGGGUAACCCAAAAGGACCCGGAGACGCCGUCGGGAGAUCGGGGAAGAGUUUUCUUUUCUGUUUGAGCGCUCGAGUUCCCUGGAAUCCUCUAGCAGGGAGAUAGGGUUUGGAGCGCGAAGAGCACCGCAGUUGCGGCGGUGUCCCGAUCUUCCCCUCGGACCUUGAAAAUCCGGGUGAGGGCCACGUGGAGGUGUCGCGCCGGUUCGUACCCAUAUCCGCAGCAGGUCUCCAAGGUGAAGAGCCUCUAGUC